rnacentral:rRNA from 1 species
UCUGGCGACCAUAGCCGAAAGGAAAUACCUGUUCCCAUUCCGAACACAGUAGUCAAGCUUUCGGUGCCGAUGAUAGUGCCUACCAGUGCGAAAGUAGGUAUCGCCAGUU